rnacentral:rRNA from 1 species
UACGUAGGGUGCAAGCGUUGUCCGGAUUUAUUGGGCGUAAAGAGCUCGUAGGCGGCUUGUCGCGUCGUUCGUGAAAACCUGCAGCUCAACUGCAGGCUUGCGGUCGAUACGGGCAGGCUAGAGUUCGGUAGGGGAGACUGGAAUUCCUGGUGUAGCGGUGAAAUGCGCAGAUAUCAGGAGGAAUACCGGUGGCGAAGGCGGCAUCCUGGACCAUUACUGACGCUGAAUCGCGAAAGCUAGGGGAGCAAACGGG